rnacentral:rRNA from 1 species
CCUACGGGAGGCAGCAGUAGGGAAUCUUUCACCAUGGGCGAAAGCCUGAAGGAGCAACGCCGCGUGCAGGAUGAAGGCCUUCGGGUUGUAAACUGCUUUUAUAAGCGAGAAAUAUGAUGGUAACUUAUGAAUAAGGAUCGGCUAACUACGUGCCAGCAGCCGCGGUCAUACGUAGGAUCCGAGCAUUAUCCGGAGUGACUGGGUGUAAAGAGUUGCGUAGGUGGCAUAAUAAGUAGCUAGUGAAAUCUGGUGGCUCAACCAUUCAGACUAUUAGCUAAACUGUUAAGCUCGAGACCGUUAGGGGUAACUGGAAUGUCUAGUGUAGGAGUGAAAUGCGUAGAUAUUAGAAGGAACACCAAUAGCGUAGGCAGGUUACUGGGACGGUUCUGACACUAAGGCACGAAAGCGUAGGGAGCAAACGGGAUUAGAUACCCGAGUAGUC